rnacentral:rRNA from 1 species
UUUGACCUCAAAUCAGGUAGGACUACCCGCUGAACUUAAGCAUAUCAAUAAGCGGAGGAAAAGAAACUAACAAGGAUUCCCCUAGUAACUGCGAGUGAAGCGGGAAAAGCUCAAAUUUGAAAUCUGGCAGUCUUUUUUUUCUUCUUUGGCUGUCCGAGUUGUAAUCUAGAGAAGUGCUUACCUGCACUGGACCAUGUAUAAGUCUCCUGGAAUGGAGCGUCACAGAGGGUGAGAAUCCCGUCUUUGACAUGGACUGCCAGUGUGUUGUGGUGUGCUCUCAAAGAGUCGAGUUGUUUGGGAAUGCAGCUCUAAAUGGGUGGUAAACUCCAUCUAAAGCUAAAUAUUGGCGAGAGACCGAUAGUGAACAAGUACCGUGAGGGAAAGAUGAAAAGGACUUUGGAAAGAGAGUUAAACAGUAUGUGAAAUUGUUGAAAGGGAAACGCUUGAAGUCAGUUAUGUUGGCUAGGGAUCAACCUAGCUGUUUUUUUGCUGGGUGAAUUUCCUAGUCUGACAGGCCAACAUCAGUCUUGACUGCUGGAAAAGAGCAGAGGGAAUGUGGCACCUUUGGGUGUGUUAUAGCCUUUUGUCAUAUGUGGCAGUUGGGACUGAGGGAUGCAGCAUGCUGCGAGGCUGGGUUUCUGACCACGUUCAUGCUCAGGAUGUUGGCUUUUAAUGGCUUCAAUCGACCCGUCUUGAAACACGGACCAAGGAGUCUAACAUGCCUGCGAGUGUUUGGGUGGGGAAAACCCUUGUGCACAAUGAAAGUGAAAGUUGAGAUCCCUGUCAUGGGGAGCAUCGACGCCCGGACCUGAGCUUUUAGCGACGGAUCCGCGGUAGAGCAUGCAUGUUGGGACCCGAAAGAUGGUGAACUAUGCCUGAAUAGGGCAAAGCCAGAGGAAACUCUGGUGGAGGCUCGUAGCGAUUCUGACGUGCAAAUCGAUCGUCAAAUUUGGGUAUAGGGGCGAAAGACUA